AGUAAAUGGUGCACUUUGUUUCUGGGAGUUGUCUUGUUCAUCUGAUCAGCGUUGGAGGAGUCUCUAGGAUGGAUAACAGCAAAGUCUCCCAGAAGAUCUGGAGUGGUGGAUCCAGAGGACCCAGAGGAAAUCACACUGUAAAUCUGUACCAUGAGGAGACCAAAAGUUUCUUCAGCAGCAAGAGAUAACCCAGGACUGCUGACAGGUAUGGGGACCAGGGAGCGAUGCCACAUACAUCAAGAAGGCACCAUUCUUGAAGACAGAGACUUUGGGGCAGCAUGGCAGUCCUGUGUGGAAAGCUUAAGGAGAUCUGCAGGUGGGAACGCACCACCAAGCCAGCCGCUUGCUUGGUUUAGUCCAUGGACCUCUGGGGUCUGCACACCCGAGGCUGAAAACUUUCAACUGACCCAAAACUUCCUCUCUGACUGGACUUUUGAUAUGAUAGCAAUGGCACCAAAAGUUCAAUAUAUCUGCUUUGCCAUAACUUUUUCAACCUGCUAAUUAUCCCAGGACUAUUUGCAGUUAAAAUUGCUCUGACUUAAUUACAUGAGACUUAAUUUCAGUUGCUUGGUCAGCUUUAAAAACAUAUAUUCAAGUGUGAACCACAAGCACAGCGUUUUGGAAGCCUCUUUGUCUUCUCACUUUAUGUUGGUGUAAGCAAAGAAGCUGUGCUAUGGUUCUCCAUUUUGUUACACAUGUCCAAGUCCAUCUCAGUUCUGGAUAGACUGUUUCCAGGCUCAUCAAUUUAAGGGAGGCACAAACUACUCCUUAUAGCAUGGCUUAUGUUUUUUGCAACAGUGUAAACAUUGAAUGUUUGUCUUAUGCUUACACUUUUU